GUCUUUGUAGUUUAUAAAAACAUUAGUUUUGUAAACUAAAAUUGUUCAUCUAAAGACU
rnacentral:tRNA from 1 species